rnacentral:rRNA from 1 species
UGCCAGCAGCCGCGGUAAUACAGAGGGGGCAAGCGUUAUUCGGAAUUAUUGGGCGUAAAGGGCGCGUAGGCGGUUUCUUAAGUGAGAUGUGUAAUCCCCGGGCUUAACCUGGGAACUGCAUCUCAUACUGGGAGGCUAGAGUACUGGAGAGGGUGGUAGAAUUCCACGUGUAGCGGUGAAAUGCGUAGAGAUGUGGAGGAAUACCAGUGGCGAAGGCGGCCACCUGGACAGUAACUGACGCUGAGGCGCGAAAGUGUGGGGAGCAAACAGGAUUAGAUA